GACGAACGCUGGCGGCGUGCUUAACACAUGCAAGUCGAACGGUGAAGGGGUCUGCUUUUGUGGGCCCUGGAUGAGUGGCGCACGGGUGAGUAACACGUGAGUAACCUGCCCCCUUCUUCUGGAUAACCGCAUGAAAGUGUGGCUAAUACGGGAUAUUCUGGGUCUGUCGCAUGAUGGGUCUGGGAAAGAUUGCGCCUUUGGGUGUUUUUGGUGGGGGAUGGGCUCGCGGCCUAUCAGCUUGUUGGUGGGGUGAUGGCCUACCAAGGCGGUGACGGGUAGCCGGCCUGAGAGGGUGGACGGUCACACUGGGACUGAGACACGGCCCAGACUCCUACGGGAGGCAGCAGUGGGGAAUAUUGCACAAUGGGCGCAAGCCUGAUGCAGCGACGCCGCGUGAGGGAUGGAGGCCUUCGGGUUGUAAACCUCUUUCGCCAGUGAAGCAGGCCUGCUCCUUGUGGGUGGGCUGACGGUAGCUGGAUAAGAAGCGCCGGCUAACUACGUG
rnacentral:rRNA from 1 species